CCUUGCUCAGACGAACGCUGGCGGCGUGCCUAAUACAUGCAAGUCGAGCGGACAGAAGGGAGCUUGCUCCCGGAUGUUAGCGGCGGACGGGUGAGUAACACGUGGGUAACCUGCCUGUAAGACUGGGAUAACUCCGGGAAACCCGGAGCUAAUACCGGAUAGUUCCUUGAACCGCAUGGUUCAAGGAUGAAAGACGGUUUCGGCUGUCACUUACAGAUGGACCCGCGGCGCAUUAGCUAGUUGGUGAGGUAACGGCUCACCAAGGCGACGAUGCGUAGCCGACCUGAGAGGGUGAUCGGCCACACUGGGACUGAGACACGGCCCAGACUCCUACGGGAGGCAGCAGUAGGGAAUCUUCCGCAAUGGACGAAAGUCUGACGGAGCAACGCCGCGUGAGUGAUGAAGGUUUUCGGAUCGUAAAGCUCUGUUGUUAGGGAAGAACAAGUGCAAGAGUAACUGCUUGCACCUUGACGGUACCUAACCAGAAAGCCACGCUAACUAC
rnacentral:rRNA from 1 species